rnacentral:misc_RNA from 1 species
UGGAGAUAAAAAACACUGUUCUGUCAAAUGAUAACUUACAUAAUUUGAUGCUAAAGCGGUUCAAUUUUGAGCUAUUCCAGCGCAAAGAAUUAUGCAAGCUUCGUGAGAAACUGGAACAAAAAAAGAAGGCUCUACAGGAGACCAUUGCAAACAGGAAGAAGUUCUUGUCAAGUCUCCCAUCGCACCUAAAAUCACUCAAGAAAGCAUCCUUGCCGGUGCAGCACCAGCUUGGAGUACUCCACACAAAAAAGUUGAAGCAGGUGCAAUAUGCAGAGUUGCUUCCUCCGCCUCUCUAUGUUAUUUAUUCACAGCUCAUGGCCCAAAAAGAAGCCUUUGGAGAAAAUGUGGAUCUGGAGAUUGUUGGUAGUGUGAAGGAUGCUCAAGCUGUUGCCCGCCAGCAAGCAAAUAAAGACACUGGUGUCUCUGCCAGCUUAGAGAGCUCUAAAGUUGAUGAUGAUAUAGAUGAUGAAGAUGAUGGACAAAGGAGAAGAAAGCGUCCCAA